GAUUCAACGAUUCCAUUUGUACACAUUAAAGAUUAUGAUUGCAAUAAUAUUAUUAUCUAAUUUUUAUAUAUUAUACGUUUUAAUUUUUAUGAUUAACGAUUUAAUCCAGAAAGAUAUUCAAGAUAUUGUAGUAGUUUUAAAAUUAUCCGAAUAUCUCUCGCGAGAUCAAUAUAGUUUGACGAGAUACUCGAGAUCGCCUUUCCAUUAUUUUCGACCAACAUCGACAAAUUCACGAGAUAACGAUUAUCUACUGCGCAGCAUUUUUUUACUCUCUUCACGUGACGAGCCUCUAAGAUUAACCUCAAGAUGCUUUCGCCUCUUUCAAGCCGUUAAUUUACGAAGAAAACGGGUUCGGGAACUACUGGCAAGCAUCCCGAGGCGGUUAGUCGAGGUAUCUCUUCGUGCGAUUACGAUUUUUAUGUUCUAUUCGUAUACCAAAAUAGAAGAGCUUUAAGAAAAGGGUCUGCAAAUAUUGGAUAUUAUGGCUACUCAUAAGUAGUCUAAAGUCGAACUGACUGUGUUCGACUCUCAAAUAUUCCUCGGAAAUUAAAAGUCAUUUUAUUUAAUCUCUCGCGUUAUUUCAAGUUUUUAUAUGAAUUGUGACGUUUAAAUAUAAUUUAA